UUAAAUGCAAUGAACAGAAUUAGUACAGACAAGUUGGAACUGUCAGAGAGAAGCUGCCAUCGGCUGGAAGCGGCUUUGAGGGAAUGUCUGGAAUGCAUCUGGGAGCAGACAAGAUGAAUAAAGUAGUUUUGUACGUUGCCGGCGUUAACGGAUUCGAGUGAAAGUAUCCUGAUCAAGUGAUAUUAGUCAGAUAUAUAAUAAGAAGAUCAGGAACUUUUAAAAGAGUGGAACCGCGGAUAUACUCCGUCUCUUUA
rnacentral:ncRNA from 1 species